GUACAACAAUCAGUCGGGAGCGGAGUGGUUUUAAGAUUAAUCCAUGUUGAGUGGAACAUAAUAUGACCCCUUACCUUUGCUAUAAAUCAAAUAUUCUGUUCAGAAAGCCUUGAACUUUAUAAGCUACGGGCAGUUUAUUUAUUUGAUUUCCAUGUCUAGAGCAGGGUUAAAAGGCAGAUCAUGUCUUUGCUUUUCAGACUGGCGCUUGGAUUGAACAUUUCACAAGAGAGGAAAAGUUGUUGCCCGUCAUCCAUAAAGACAUCUGGACACAGAGAUGUGAAACACCCAAAACAUUGAGCAAGAAAACAAACCUAGGCUGCUGUUACCGCCAUUGGACCACUGAGGUUUCAUACAGUUCUCCAAAUCUUGCCCUCACCAGGACCUUCACUGUUUCUAUAAACCAUCACGCAGGAAAUAAGGAACAAUCACCUUCCUGUGAGAAUAAUAGGAGAGAGAAAAUCAACAAGGUGUCAUCUGGUGCGAUAAGGAAACGUAACAAUGAGGUUUGGAGGAACUCCCUGAAGAGCUGAAGGAGACAGCUUGCCAGGCCGAAGCCUGCUGGAAUAAAGGGUGGUGCAAAUGUG